CAGCAGUCGCCGCGGUAAUACAUAGGGUGCGAGCGUUAAUCGGAUUUACUGGGCGUAAAGCGUGCGUAGGCGGCUAAUUGAGUCGGAUGUGAAAUCCCCGAGCUUAACUUGGGAAUUGCAUUCGAUACUGGUUAGCUAGAGUGUGGGAGAGGAUGGUAGAAUUCCAGGUGUAGCGGUGAAAUGCGUAGAGAUCUGGAGGAAUACCGAUGGCGAAGGCAGCCAUCUGGCCUAACACUGACGCUGAGGUACGAAAGCAUGGGGAGCAAACAGGAUUAGAGACCCCGGUAGUCCCUGUCUCUUAUAC
rnacentral:rRNA from 1 species